CCAACGGUAUUCUCGAUUCAACACGGAAGCUGGCUAUUAGGGUUUGACCGGAUUAUUUAUUUACUAGCCGUUGGAUCAUUAUCAUCUUCAUUAUAUAACCAACCAUACAGACCUACUAUUUCUUGCGCCGUUCACAUUCACUUCUCUUCCUCUUUCCACUAUCUCUGAAGUUAGGUUUUUAAUUUUCAUUUUGCAAUCUUCACUCUGUGCUCGUAUAUUUUUUCAUAGUAUCUAUUUCGAUUUCGAUUUGCUAUUUGAAAUUGGCUUCACUAUCUGGUCGAUGUGGAUUCUUUCAAUUCCCUUUAGACUCGUUCCCUUGAAGCAAUAGUUAUAUGUGUUGUUUUUUCAUUUCACUUCCACAAUCCUUUUUUUUUUGGUUCUGGGAGAAUGCGAAAACAACUAAAUUUUGAAUUAUAAAUUAGAUCUUUUCAUUGAUGAGUAUGGAGAAUGACUAGUUUUAACUGUGAUGAGUUCUUAACAGACCUGUAAUGAUUUGCGGGAAUGAUCGCAGAUUUAUUGAACAUCUAAGGGGCUGAGUUAACUAGUUCUUCACCCAAUUUUCUCUUUGAUUCUUGUUUUUAUAAGUUUUCAAUUUUUAAUUAUCGAAACUUUGUGGCUUCAGAUCUGGAUUUUAUUGUUGCAUUCACUUUUCAAAUGUGUUUGUAGUGUUUAAUUGAAGCCUAUAAUUGUGUUCCCCUCGCUAUCCACUACUACAAUUUCGAUGUUGUAUUUGGACGUCGGGGAACUAAAUUUCUCAAUAAUAUUUAAAUCUUAAUUGACUUUUACAGAUCCAGCUUCUUUGAAAACGUUUUGUUAACUGUGGUCGAUAAGGAUGAAGCAAAAUAUAUAAUCCAACACUUGAUCUGAUUUUGUGAUGCUAAAUAUAUCUAUAUGCUUCUGAAUCUAUACUUUUGUUAUAUAAUGUAUAUUUCUCUGUUUAUUUAGGGUAUUUUGACAGUAUUAUAUUGUCCCUUUGUAUUUGCAUUUUAUGUAUCAUGUGAUGAGUUUGGAAUAAAUCUUAGGACACCUUCCUACACAACUUAGGUUGUGGAUGAGAUAAAUUAUCCUUUCUGAUGAUGUGUAUAUGAGUUUCACAUUAUACUGUCAUAUUAACUUAUUUUUAUUACCACGUUUUGUACUAAUAUGAACUAUACUGAAUUGUAAUUGGCUUCUUUGUAAUUUUUUAGCUACUGGCCCUUAUAAGCACUUAGUUUUGUGAGUUUCUGAUCUAACUUCUCGUUUACAAGUAGUUAAAAGUUGGGAAUAAAUUCUGUUCUUAGAUGUUUUGAUAAACACAUUUCUCAGUUUGCUUUGGUCUUAACAAUAUUUUUCUAUAUAACAUAACUCAAUAUUGAGUGAGUUAUUUUAUAUAGAAGAAUAUUGUUAAACUUGGCAUGCUUAUCAAAAAAUGUAGAAUGAAUCAAACCUAUUCUAGUGUGGAAUAGGAAAUUGAUGAUGAGCGGAUGAGGUUGCACUAGUAGCAGCAGCAAGUUCUUUGACAUGCGAAUGCGGGGAAUGUACCUACAAGUGAUCUUCUUGUUUCUUUGGAGAGCUAAUUAAAUAAGUGACGCCUCCUUACAAAUUGAAUUAUAUCCUUUAGCCGUGGUAUCCUUCGGGUGAGUUUAUAAAGAUUAGUGAUAUGUUUGAAGUAGUGGGGAGUUCUAGUAAGGAUGCCGAAGAGGUAGAGGGUUCCUAGGACAUAUGAUGAAGAGGAGGAAAUAUCUUACUAAGAUUUUAAAACAUAUCAUAAAUCUUGAUUUAUUCCCAUAAAAUCGUUUGAAUUGCUCUGUUUUUAAGGGGAUUCAGUUUUAAUUUGUAUUUUUCAAAUUAUUUUGUUUCAUUCUACCCCAUUUAAAAGAUCUUUUGGUAAGUGUAUAGACUCAUAUCAUUUAAAAGAAGUGGCAAAUUUAUUAAUUAUAAUUUAGCUUCAAACUUGAUUAUUAGAUGUUAAAUAUUAAUUGUAAUUUAUAAUUCAUUUACUUACAAAUUUUUACAGUGAGGUUAAUGAGAAUUAGAGAUCUUGAAGUUGAAUAAUGAAUGAGUGAUAAAGUAUUAGUAAAAGAUUUUUUUUUGGUAAGCGUAUAUAUCUCAUCCUUAAUCUCGCUUAAUUAGAGUUUUAAGAAAAUUAAAUAUAAAUUAAACAAUACUAAACAAUAUUCUUUAUAAAAAGUGGAAAGUUUAUUAAUAAUAAAUUGUUAUAAACUUGAUUAUUACUAAAUAUUAAAUAUUAUCUAGAUGUAUUUUUUUGAUAAAGUAACUAUAGUACUCUUGACUUUUGCUUUAUUCAUAGAAUAAGUAGUGUUUUAUAUAUUUAUUUAACAUUUAAUAUACACCUUAAAUUUUAUUUAAUACCUCUGGAUAAUAUUUAUCUUUCAACAAUCAAGAUUGGAGUUGUAUCUUAUUAUUAUUAAUUUGCUACUUUUAUAAAUGAUAUUGUUGAUUUUUUUUUCAAAUAAUUCAAUUUUUCAAAAAAAAAAUUCAAAAAUUUAUUGGCGUUUGCUCUUAAACUUAAAUGAUAUAUAAAGUUGAAAUUGGAUCAAUUCAUAUUAAUAAUAUCAUUUUACACAAAAAAAAUUAGACUAAUGUUGAUGAGCUGAAUCACCUAAUUGAUGGUUAGACAUCCCUGAAUUUGAUGUCGUAAUCCACGUUUAUGAUUCACCCCAUGUGUUUGAGUAUCCGAGGGUCCAGGAACAUCACCACCACCUAUAGGAGAUUGUCUGAGAUAGUCAUACAAAUGAAUGAUGUGUCGAGGAAAGGUUGAAAACUAUUGUUGUGGUGCUAUGGUAGGAGGAUAGAUGGUUGAUGUUAAAUGAUCGUUGAGUGUUUUGGUUAAGACAACUAUGAUAGGGUGAUGUGUUGUGUGCAUAACGAUGUUGAAUGCUUUGACAUUUGUUAUAACUCAUACCUCUUGUCGACCAUCUGUGCCAUAAAAUUAAAAUAUUAUUUAGAGAUAAUAAUUGGUAAAGUAAGUAAAUAUAGUCCAUUUUUGUACAUACAGGCAUGUGAAUGGGUUGUUGAUGGGCGUUAGGGACGGUGUGAAUGGGUUGUUGUUGAUGAGCGCAAUAGACAGUAGUCAGUGUGUAUUUUUAUGUGUUUUUACACAAAAAAAACUAUAAAGAUAAGUCAAACACAAAAAGUUAUAAAGAUAAGUCUUACAAGCAGACCCCAACUGUAAUUUCAUAUUAUAUCUAUGUGUUUUAGUAAAUGUAAAUAUAUAACAUGCAUACUUGAACCA